rnacentral:ncRNA from 1 species
UAUACCUUGCUAUGGAGCGGGUCUGCGAAAGCACCCGGCGCAUCUUGUGAGAGCGCAGGUCUCCUGUGGCAAGGUUUCUU